GCCUGGCCUAGCAUAUCUCUUUUUUUAAAAAAAGGAGACUGAUGGGGGUUGGGGGGAUGCAAAUUGUGAGUAGAUAGGUGGGAUUGGAGGAGAGUUUGAACAUCUGCUUUAAUCAACUAAAUGGUGUCUUAGAGCUGUCCUGCGGGCAACCAUGUGGCCUCAGAUUUCUGGGACAAUCUCAAUUUCUGGGACAGAGGACUGGCCCACUGGCCCUUUGUUAGGCUACGCAUCAGACCACCACCAAUUUCCAGUUCUGAAAUUGUGGUCACCAGAGAGACCUAUCAGCAGCCAUAGACAUUAUCUCCUUCGGAAUGACUGGACCCAGGCAGCCAGGCAGAGCUGGGGUCCCCAGAGCUCCUGGCACUAGCCGGAAUAUUUCCAGUUCCUCUUCUUCCCUUACAGCACAAGUCCUUUGGUAAUCAUUGCUCAUAUUUGUAGAACCUUAGAGAAUUUUGGAUGUAGCAGGACAGAAAUUGGUUGCCUGCCAUUUUGUGGCUUGGGUGGCAUACAUCUUGUUUGGCAAUUAAAAAAAAAAGAUGAGAAGAAAAUGGGAUAUGCAAUGGAGACCAAUUCAAGAAAAAGUGAUUUAUGCCAGUCCUAGCUGAGGCAGAUGAAUUUGGGAAGACUUACUUGUUUUCUAGAAAUAGUCUUCACUUGACCAGAGAUUCAUACUUGGGCGUAUUUAAAUACAGAGCUCUUCUGGAGCAUUUGACUAGAAGGACAGAAAACCAGAGACUAAUUAACCAGUUGUUACCAGCGGGAAAUCCGUUUUUGUUUGUUUGUUUGUUUGUUUGUUUUCUUUUUGAGGCGGAGUCUCGCUCUGUCGCCAGGCUGCAGUGGAGUGGCGUGAUUUUGGCUCACUGUGCAAUCUCUGCCUCCUGGGUUCAAACCAUUCUCCUGCCUCAGCCUUCCAAGUAGCUGGGAUUACAGGUGCACUCCACCACACCCAGCUAAUUUUUGUAUUUUUAGUAGAGACGGGGUUUCACCAUGUUGGCCAGGAUGGUCUCAAUCUCCUGAUCUGGUGAUCUGCCUGCCUUGGCCUCCCAAAGUGCUGGGAUUAUAGGCGUGAGCCACUGCGCCAGGCCAAGAGAUCAGUCUUACAUGAAAAUCAAGGGUUCAGUUACCCAGUGGGUCAGUAAGAGAUGAGGCUUUCAUUUAGAAAAA
rnacentral:lncRNA from 1 species